UGGUGGAGUGAUUUGUCUGGUUAAUUCCGUUAACGAACGAGACCCCGCCUGCUAAAUAGCUCCCGCACGCAUUAGCGUGACGGGCGGCGCUUCUUAGAGGGACUUUCAGUGAUUAACUGAAGGAAGUUGGGGCAAUAACA
rnacentral:rRNA from 1 species